UUCUGCAAAAAUGAACCAUAAUUGCAUUAAGAAAAAUCACUGCAUUUUCACCACCUCAGUACAAAAAGAAUUAAGACAUGUAAGAAUGGAGAGAUGCAAUGGAUCUAAUUGUUAUGUAAAUCUUCAUGCAACUCCAGAUUGGAAAAUAGGGCUAAGAUAAUCAAUCCAGUUGUUUUAUAAUUGUACCUAGGGUACAGUACUUGAUUAAGAAAACAUUCAGGGAAAAACACAUAAAAAGGGUCCAAACAACCAUUACAAAAACCAAGUACAUGCAAAAGUUUACACGUGUAGAAAAAAAAGGAUUCCAUAAGAUACAUACCAAAGCUUGGUGGGCAAGUUCAACUGAUGGAAAUGUCACAAAAGCUUGGCCCCUCAUUCUUCCCUCCUGAAAAUUUAAAGCUCCAGGGUAAAAAGCAGGGAACUAUAGCGCUUUCAUUUUGAUGCAGAUUUGGAUUGGUUAGGCCAAGGAGAUCAAAAUUACUCACAAAAUGUCAUACCAACAAGGAUGAUUUCAUCAAAAGAGAUUCCUCAACAACAAUGUUCCACUUUCACAAUUGGAUGUAUAAAUGCUUUAAGAAUGUAGGAUCAUUUCAAGUAUUAACAUUACUUUUCAGUUUAAUGGAGAACUAAGGUUAUAAAUAUUCAAAUCCACAAUUCUGCCUAAAACUCUGCAAGGGAAAUCAUCUCCCAAACCUUGAAACUUAAAAGCAUCCCUUGCAACUGUUGUACAAAACCUCAAAUCUACAUUUUCAUAACAGGGCAGCCAUCCAAGCCUCCACUCUAACACUGUUGCUUUAGAUAUCCUCAAGGCCAAAAUUCUCUCUCUUUCCUCAUACUUGUUUGGCCCAUCCUUCCUAGAAGCUGAUAUGGACAAGAAAAUUUAUAUUAUGUGAAUUUUAUUGCCCAUCUUCCACCGACCAGCCCUCUCACUCAUCAUGAACAUUAAUGUAAUCAUUUUUUUUUUCAUUUUAGAGAACAAAUCAUCUCCACCCAAAGCAUAAAGAAAUCUAUCUAAUGUCCAGUAGGAGAUUUGACCAAAGUAAAUAGAAUAAGAAGUAACCUUACCUGCAUUAACUUCACAUUAAGGCCAAUUUUAGCUGCAUCAUUGCUUCCAAACAAUGAUCCUACAUCAUAAUUUGAAGCAAGAUAUAGUAAACAAAAACUUUCUUUGUAAUAGAAAAAGAAUAGGUGUUUGAGUAAACUUGGAUACAAAAAGUGCAAAAGUGGCAAACAUUAGCAUUAAGGAUCUAGCACAACAAUGGGCUUGAAAAAUAACCAUUUCUUAAAAUAUGAACAUCUAGUAACAUUUCAUAGUUGCUAGAAACAUGAUAUUACUCAUGGCCACGGUCCACUUCGGAACCAGAAUUAUAACUGGACUGGUAAAAUCCAGAUUGAUCAAAAACCACCGUUGAACUCGACAGGAACCUGUUGGUUCCAGGCCAAAACCUUUGGUUCGGUCCCAGUUAACCCUAACCCUUGAACCAGCCCAGCCCGGACCGCCAGCCAUAUCUACAUGAUAUGAGAUUGAGAACAGCUAAACUUAUUUUUGGCUCACCAAAUAUGUAGAAGAAGUCAUCGGGAACCAUAUCCUUGCUCAAGUUCUUUAUGUACAACACAGAUGUAGGAUUCCCAACUGUAUAAUUCUUAAACUUUGGAAGUGACAGAAUUUCCUCUGGAGCCAGCUUGUUACUCUCUAUUUCUUCUGGAGUUGCAUAAGGUUUAUGAUCUAAACCAUCAUUUUCUGGCUCUUCAGAUUCUUUCAUAAUGCUAUCAUCUUUUUGUUCAUUCGGAGUUACUUUGGGGGCAAUUUUGAUCUGUAACACAGGGUUCUUCUUUUUUAUAACAGGAAUUUCUUUUGGGACAAGGGAGGAAGGUUUCACUCCAACAGCCUCAUGAGCUACAUCUUUAUCCACUGCAGGGCCUACAAUUGCUUCUUUUCUAGCACGCUUUCGUCUAGAUUUAACUGCUCCUGGAGUUUCAACAGGAAAGGCUUUGUCAUCAACCUCCUGAAAGCAUUUAGUAGCAACCAAUCACAUUCUAUUGGAAUCACUAAAGGGUAACAGUCAAAAACCAUGAGGACUUUCAUUUCUAAAUUACAGUGAAUGUAAAGAUUAUGAAGCUAUAAACUUCUACACCCAAAAAAGAAGCCAACAUUCUGAGACACAAAAGGCAAAAAUAAAUAAAUAAAAACAUGUACCUAUUAGUUAUCAAAUAGAGGCUAACAAUGAUUCCGAAUGCUUCCAGAUAAGGUGGCCCAUGAUUUCCAUCCAUUAAGCAUCCACGGAUUUAUCUCAUCUGACUCCAUUUCCGACUCACUACUGGAUAGAUCUGCCAAAUGAGGAUUUGCGGUUGCAGUAGGGGGAGGUGGGGGUGGGGAUUUGGGUGGAGGCACUGAAGGUGGUAGUGGUGGAGUGGGGAGGGCCAUCCGAAAUGGAGCUGGAAUGUUCAUUUUGUUCAUCAAAUGCAACACCUGUGUAUAAAAGCGAGGAACAGCAAUGAGAGCAUUUACAAUGUUGGUCAGAAUGUUUCCAUCUGGAGGAGGAUAAGCAUACUCCAGGUGGGGAGGAAAUGGAUAAUCUACACCAAGCCUUGAAGCAAUAGGCUCACUAGCAGGCAUGGACUUAGAACCAUUGCCAAGAUCACCUGUCAUAGAGGCCUUCUUUUCCACAGAAGUUGGUGCUGUAUAAUCCUUCCCCAAUUGAGCUUCACUUUGUUUAUGUUUAUUAUCCUCAUUUGGCUUAUUAGCUCUCUCCACUGCUAAGACUUUACCAAGAAACCUCAACCCAUUUAACUGCCGUUGUGCUUGAUAAGCCGAUGUUUCAUUUUUGAAAUCCACAAACGCACAGUUUCUCAGUCUUCCACCGGCGCAAGGACGGAACGAGCUAGCGCUAUAGUGGGAGAAGAGUCGGGAGAGGGUUUCAUGGGGUAUAGCCUCAGGAAGGUGUCGUAUCAAAAGGGUGACCACCCUUGCUUCUGCUUCUCCGCCUUCAGUUUUCACCUCCAUAAAGCUAUUUCAUAAAACAAUGCACCCACUUCAAUAAAAUUACGUAUAUAUCUGUGAAUUGCAGGAAUGAAGCAGAAAGUCUCGGGGACCCUGAUGGUCAGGCUCUGUUUGGGUGGGGCGAGGGAGGGGUAAAUAAGGGUAGGGAGGGCAAGUAACUAUUUCUCUACUUGGGUAAGAAGUGAUUUGGGAAAGAAUAAGGAAAAGUAAG
rnacentral:misc_RNA from 1 species